rnacentral:tRNA from 1 species
GGGGUUGUGGCUCAGUGAUAGAGCGCUCACCUAGCACAUGUGAGGCCCUGGAUUCGAUCCUCAGCACCACA